GGGGCUAGUAUGAAUAAAUUCCAGUUCUUUGUUUUGAAGUACACAACAAAAUAUUCCCUUUAUUAUUUGGUGCUACUGUGGACUUGUAUGUAUGUGAGUGUGCGGGUGAGAGAGAGAAAGAGAGAGCCUGUGGAAGCCAUAUUUUCUUUACACAAUCCUGAGAAGAAAAGAAGGAAUAAUUUCCUGGAAACAUUCCAUUCGACGUUUACUUGUUGACUGGACCAGAGUCUUCAGCGUGUGCAACACAAGCACAGUUCUUUCUACAACGGCAGUACCGACCAAUUGGUUUGCAGCUGACACAUGCACCGAAGCCAAUAAGGAGAAGAAGGAGCUGCUGCUGAAAACGAGCAAUUAAGGAAAACUUGAAACAAUGGAAGGAGGAGAAAGAGAAGUUCCGAAUUAUGAGCUACAGGUCUCCUUCACCACACCACAGGCAAUCCAUGAGAUGGGAUUUGUACAAUUUGAAGAAAACCAAGUUUUGAGCUUUUUGGCUCCUUCACACUCACAGCAGUCUUCUCAUAUUUCUCAACCUCUUAAUACCGCAACCACCAAUACCCAUAUGGGAUUUGGUGGUCAUAACGACCAGGUGGGAACAUCGGAUCCAAAGCCCACUAUUGAAGAGAACUGCACCGGUGGUGCUAACGGUGGCAACAAUUCUUGGUGGAGGAACUCAUCGUCCGCAGAGAAAAGCAAGGUGAAAAUUAGGAGAAAACUUAGAGAACCAAGAUUCUGUUUUCAAACUAGAAGUGAUGUGGAUGUGCUUGAUGAUGGUUACAAGUGGAGAAAAUAUGGCCAGAAAGUAGUCAAAAAUAGCCUUCAUCCAAGAAGUUAUUAUCGGUGCACCCACAAUAAUUGCCGAGUGAAGAAGAGAGUUGAAAGGUUAUCUGAGGAUUGUCGAAUGGUGAUAACAACCUAUGAAG
rnacentral:misc_RNA from 1 species